CCAGCACCGCCUGCGGGACCCGCCUCCUCCCCUGACGGCCCCCUCCGCCCGCUCCGUCCAGCCCUGCGCCCCCCGGCCUUUCAGGAAUCCACCGAGCGCCCCUGUGUCCACGGAGAUCAACGCGGACGCAAAAGAGGUCUAGGGUGGUUGCAGGGGGACAAAGAGAAGAUUGAUAAGCGGCUCAGGUCCGCGGGGUCGGCCUCCCGGUGCCAGUGCUGGGGCCUGUCACGUGCAGUUUCUCCCUGCGCCCAAGUUUGAAAGUUUUCUCUGCAGCACGGACACCGAGUCACAACUGGAAGAGAAAUGCUGGGUUUUUUCAUCCACACACAGAGGCCCCAUUCAUCCGUCCAGCCCCUGAGUGCCUGUCCUGGCAACGCCAGACUACAGGUUAGGAGUUACAGGACAGCCCUGCUUCUCCUCACCUCCUAGUAAAGCACACACAAACACUCGGCUCCUCGGCUCUGGGAAGCACACUGUCUCCUUGCAGUUCCAAACAUCAGGUGCCCUAAGAAGGUGGUCAUCUCUCUCUGGUAAUAGAAAAGGAGAGAUACAGGAAGGCAGAACCACUGGCGAGACUCCCUAGAGGUCAAGAUGAGAGGGGAGGUGCCAUCAUGGAAAAUCACUGGAGGUGAGGCACAGAUACACAGAGGACAGGGGUCUGUGCAGCUGGGCUUCUCCCUUUAGGAAGAUGGGAAGGGUUGUCACCUACUUGCCUGCCACGUGCCUGCCUCACACUGCAAGAGCUGCUCCCAGGGUGAGCUCCCCAUCCCCACAGCGAUGCCAUGGGAGUCUGCAAAAACCUCCCCAUUCUACAGAUGGGGAAAAUGAGGCUCAAAGGUGCUAAGAAGCCUCUCGGACAGAUAUAUGGUAAAGCCAGGAUUUUUCUGACUUCAAAACCAAAGCUCUAAAAAGAAAAAGAAACGCAAGCCUCAACUUCCUCAAGGAUCCAACACGGUGGUCCUCAUGGGUGGUUCUCCAACAGGUGGGUGGCUGCCAGCGGUAACCUGCAGACACGCAGCCUGCAUCCGAAGACCCUCCCCAGACUCCUGAAGCCCUCAUUAUUCACAAGAAAUCACAGUGACAAACUGCUCUUGGACAAGCCUUUCAGAGUAUCGAAGACAGAGACAAUAAGAAUGCACUAAAAAUAAAAGCUAAAUCCAGAAAGCAACUGCAGGUACAAAGCAGAGACAAGCACCUUGCUUUGUCGAAUUCAGAAACUAGUUCUCAAGGACAUCCCUCAGGCUGAGUUCCAGGUCUGAGGGCUCCUCUCCAGUUAUCUGAUGCCCUGGUGCUCUCCUCAGUUUGGCAUAGAGAGAGAGGAUUAUGGCAGGGCUUCCGUAGCCGCUCAACUUCUGGUUUUGGUAAAAAGUGAGCAGGAGAAGGCACAAUGUGCAUGAGAGUGGCUGGGAGAGGCUCCAUGGGAAAACCACAUACUCGGUUUUGGAAAUUUCCCAGUUGGGAUUUGAAAGGUUGGGAAGCUUGCCCCUGCCCAGCCCCCACAGUAACAGAGUUUGACAUCCAUCAAUUAGCAGCACUCCAUAAAUAAGUCAGCUUUUAAUCAUGCCAAAGGAGAUUGCCAAAAAUCAACUAUGGAAAAGAGCAGCUGAAAACAAGGACACUGAGGUCAAUACCAUUUUAACAAUCUGGGAAGCCGUGCUGUUCAACAUACAAUGAGUAAGUUAAAGUUCCCAGGACUUCCAAAGAACGUCAAAGACACAGCUGGUCCAAUGGGCUGCCUAUAAUCAUCCAGGUACCUUAAGUUCCAAGGCUCCCUCACAUUCAUACAUGUAAAUCUAAAUCUUUAAUCCAUCUAAACCACAUCAGUAUCAGACACAUUGAUUCCUGAAAUAUGAAAAAUAAGACAAAACAAAAAAGCCUGCCUAACAUAACAAACCAAAGCACCGAUAGACUAGAAACAUACCGGCCAACUCAAGCUGCCCAGUGGGAUUUUUUUUGUGCACAUGUGGAUAAUAAUAUACAUGUUUUAAAAUCUCGAUGGUAGUGUUUUCAUUUGUAUUAAUCAACGGAGUCCUCUGGGUAACUGCACUGGGAGAUAGGGCAGACUUAGGGUCG